rnacentral:sRNA from 1 species
GGGACUUGGUACCUGCAAAGCACACAGACUUCUUCAAGCAAGUUUAAAGUGUUUAUAUCUGGAAUGCAAACCUGAGUUGAAGCUCAUGUCCUCUUGAUUUGGCCUGCAACAUGGCUUUCAACUUAGCCAUUUAUUUACAGUCUAAAACCCACUGGUGGCUUCUUUAACGCCCCACGAAAGGGGUGUACCAACACCAGAGAUGUUGUAACCUCAGCUCAUGGAAUAUAUGGUGCAAGCUCCGAUCCCAUCUUCCAGAUCCCCAAUCUGUUUGCUCUAUUGUCCUCAGAUAGAGGGCACAUCAAAUAUUAAACUGGUUCUUAAGACGCAGCUUAAUCGGUCAGAACAAGGACUUACCCACGUUCCCAGCCAGCAGUAUCCUGCAGCACGAGUCCGUGUACA